AUAGGAUCGUGCUCGAUUAUGGUAGUUGGUGAGGUAAUGGCUCACCAAGCCGAUAAUCGAUAGGGGCCGUGAGAGCGGGAGCCCCGAGAUGGGUACUGAGACAACGACCCAGACCUUACGAGGUGCAGCAGGUGCGAAACCUCCGCAAUACACGAAAGUGUGACGGGGUUACCCAAAGUGUUCUUAUUGAACUGUGGUAGGUGGGUAAUGUCCCCUACUAGAAAGGAGAGGGCAAGGCUGGUGCCAGCCGCCGCGGUAAAACCAGCUCUUCAAGUGGUCGGGAUAAUUAUUGGGCUUAAAGUGUCCGUAGCCGGUUUAGUAAGUUCCUGGUAAAAUCGAGUAGCUUAACUAUUCGUAUGCUAGGAAUACUGCUAAUACUAGAGGGCGGGAGAGGUCUGAGGUACUACUGGGGUAGGGGUGAAAUCUUAUAAUCCUAGUAGGACCACCAGUGGCGAAGGCGUCAGACUGGAACGCGCCUGACGGUGAGGGACGAAAGCCAGGGGAGCGAACCGGAUUAGAUACCCGGGUAGUCCUGGCCGUAAACGAUGCAUACUAGGUGAUGGCACGGCCAUGAGCCGUGUCAGUGCCGUAGGGAAACCGUUAAGUGUGCCGCCUGGGAAGUACGGUCGCAAGGCUAAAACUUAAAGGAAUUGGCGGGGGAGCACCACAAGGGGUGAAGCCUGCGGUUUAAUUGGACCCAACGCCGGGAAACUUACCAGGGGAGACAGCAGUAUGACGGUCAGGUUGACGACCUUACCCGACGAGCUGAGAGGAGGUGCAUGGCCGUCGCCAGUUCGUGCCGUGAGGUAUCCUGUUAAGUCAGGCAACGAACGAGAUCCGCGCCUUUAUUUGCCAUCAAGAAGUUACGACUUCGUUGGGAACUCUAAAGGGACCGCCACCGAUAAGGUGGAGGAAGGAGCGGGCAAAGGCAGGUCAGUAUGCCCCGAAAACCCCUGGGCUACACGCGGGCUGCAAUGGUAUGAACAAUGGGCAGUAACUCCGAAAGGAGAAACCAAUCCCGAAAUCAUAUCUCAGUUGGAAUUGUCGGCUGUAACUCGCUGACAUGAACGUGGAAUCCCUAGUAAUCGUGUGUCAUCAUCGCACGGUGAAUACGUCUCUGCUCCUUGCACACACCGCCCGUCGCUCCAUCCGAGUGUACUAAAAAUGAGGUUUGGUCAGUCUGGUCAUAUCGAGUUUCUAGUAUGCGAGGAGGGAGAAGUCGUAACAAGGUA
rnacentral:rRNA from 1 species